CAAGGUAUCAGUGUUGGUCAUCUGUGCCGUCAGCAACGGCGGCGGAAACUGCUGUCAGUUGCAGGGGUGACCUCCAGCCAUGAAGGCGGUAUUAUCUGCGUGGGCCGCGCUCUUGUUCAUCGCCUUGGUGACCGGUAGCGCUGUAGGAGCCGACGAAGGUGCGGAGAAGGUGCUCCGGAUAAAACGUGAGGAUCAGUUCUGCGACCCCAACUCGACCUUCCUGAUGGACUGCAACGAGUGUAUCUGCGAAAUCGACGGUUUGUCGGCGUCCUGUACAGCGAUGGAGUGUCCCGACCGUCGCCGCAGGGAUGUUUCGUGUAAGCCGGGAACAACAUUCAAACAAAACUGUAACACGUGCUUCUGCGGUGAGGAUGGGAAGUCUGUGAUCUGUGCCUCCAUUGGUUGCUCUGAAGGAAACAGCUAGUAUGACGUUUCCACUUACUGGCGGAUGUCUACCACGAACUUCCUUUCCUGCCACUCGUCUUGCAACAGGUCUCUACUUUCUGUGGAUAUGGCUACACCAGAUUCCCUCCGGUUCGUCCUCGGCCUCCCUCGGCUUUUCCUGCCUGGCGGACGUGAGUGGAGGAAUGACUGCGGCCAUCGUUGUUCCUCCAUGUUUGCGAAGUGUCCACACCAUCUCAGAGCUCCAGCAUCAGCCCCCACGCUACCCACACGCACCCCUCUGCACGAGACAGCCUGCCUCAGAAGUACGAAUGGCUGCAAAAUGAACACGAGGCUGCGCGAGGAGCAACAGCGCCGCUUAUUCACAACCUUGUAAACCAGACCAUACAAGUCAUAUUCUUAAUUUGUCACAAAAUUACAUUAAAAUGACCAUAACAGAACAUUCUUUAUUUCUUAAGUAUUAAUAUUUUGAAACAAGCGGAAAAAUAUUCCUAUCGGAGAACAAAAAUGCAAAUGUUUACCUAUUUAUUUAAAAUACUCCAAAGUGGGGUACUAGCUGUCUCAUUCUACAUUCUUCAGCACAUUUAAAAAUGCUCCCAAAAAUUUUGGCACGCGAACAUAUUCACUCUUUUUUAAACACGCAAAUCACCUCAAACUCCCAUGAGCUCCCCCUAACUCUAACUCUUUCACAUCGUGGAUGUUCAUCUCUGUAAGUAAUAAAUACUUUAAGAUAGUAGACAGUGCUUGUAUUAUAGAAAGAGAGGAGGAGAUAACUGCAUUGUGAGAAAAAGAGACGGACCCAGUGCUUUCAUACCCAUCCACUCCCAGUUGCCCUUACUCACUCACUCAAUCAGUCCAACUCACUGUCAUUAACUCUGUGACUGCCUUCUCCUGUGCCACAGACACCGUCCCUUGCGUUCUGUCCUACUACAACAGUCUCCUCUAGCUGUAACUUUCUCCCUCUUGCUUUCUCUUGAUGCUAUUAUCUCAUUCCUUCCUUCCUACUGCUGCUGUCUCUUCUCGCGGUCAGCUUCUCACUUUUCCCCAUUGCCAUUGUCGUAUACUCAGUGUCUCAUUAUCAUCGGCUCUCGCGCUCUUCCACUUUCUCCUUCUCUUUAUUCCUCUCCCUUUGGUACUGUCUCUUUCACUCUUUUCCUAACACUGUUCAGUCACCGUCAACUACGUUCCAGUAGCACUGGGUCCGUCUCUUUUUCUCACAACGCAGUUAUCUCCUCCUCUCUUUCUAUAAUACAAGCACUGUCUACUAUCUUAAAGUAUUUA